UCAAGCUAGAAAGAGCGCAAGGGGAAUGCCUUGGCAUCAGGAGCCGAUGAAGGACGCGACAAGCUGCGAUAAGCUUCGGGUAGCUGCAAAUAAGCAAUGAUCCGGAGAUUUCCGAAUGGGGCAACCCGGCACGGCAAUACCGUGUCAGCGUGCACUGAAUCAAAUAGGUGUACGUGGGGAACCGCCUGAACUGAAACAUCUAAGUAGGGCGAGGAAAAGACAUCAACCGAGAUUCCGCAAGUAGUGGCGAGCGAACGCGGAGAAGGCCAAACCAGAGGUCAUUGAUCUCUGGGGUAAGGACUUGCAUCAUGAUCAGAGGUAUCUAGUCGAAUGGCGUGGGAAAGCCAACCACAGAGGGUGAGAGUCCCGUAGACGAAAGAGAAGACUGACAGCGAGUAUCCAGAGUACCGCCGGACACGUGAAACCCGGUGGGAACAUGGGAGGACCACCUUCCAAGCCUAAAUACUACCUGAUGACCGAUAGAGAAGCAGUACCGUGAGGGAAAGGUGAAAAGAACCCCGGGAGGGGAGUGAAAUAGUACCUGAAACCUUGUGCUUACAAGCAGUCAGAGCACGUUAAAGUGUGAUGGCGUACCUUUUGUAGAAUGGUCCGGCGAGUUAUAGUCACUGGCGAGGUUAAGCAAUUCAGUUGUGGAGCCGAAGGGAAACCGAGUCUUAAUAGGGCGUCGAGUCAGUGGCCAUAGACCUGAAACCGGGUGACCUAUCCAUGAGCAGGUUGAAGUUGGUGUAAAAGCCAAUGGAGGACCGAACCCACGUUCGUUGCAAUGACCGGGGAUGACUUGUGGAUAGCGGAGAAAUUCCAAUCGAACUCGGAGAUAGCUGGUUCUCCCCGAAAUAGCUUUAGGGCUAGCGUUGUGUUAGUUUACCGGAGGUAGAGCACUGAAUUGGCUAAGGGGCGAUGAGCUUACUGAACCUUAUCAAACUUCGAAUGCCGGAUAAAUGGUGCACAGCAGUCAGACAGUGUGAGAUAAGUUUCAUUGUCAAGAGGGAAACAGCCCAGACCCACAGCUAAGGUCCCAAAUGAACGCUAAGUGGAAAACGAUGUGGGGUUGCAGAAACAACCAGGAUGUUGGCUUAGAGGCAGCCACUCAUUAAAAGAGUGCGUAAUAGCUCACUGGUCGAGUGACCCUGCGCGGAAAAUAUAACGGGGCUAAGCGUCCAACCGAAGCUUGGGAUGUCUAAGGACAUGGUAGGGGAGCGUUGUGUAUAGGGAGAAGCAUGAGCGAGAGCACAUGUGGACAGUACACGAGUGAGAAUGCCGGAAUGAGUAGCGAGAAUUAUGUGGGAAUCAUAAUGGCCGAAAAUCUAAGGUUUCUUGGGGAAGGUUCGUCCGCCCAAGGUAAGCCGGGAGCUAAGGCGAGGCCGAAAGGCGUAGUCGAUGCACAUACGGUUGAAAUUCCGUAGCCGCCGAAAUUGUUAAGCACAGGGACACAUAGAGAUAUCCGAACCCGGGCGUUGGUUGACCCGGGCGCAAGGGACCGAACAUCAGUAGGGAAGUCGGAGAUGCUCUGUGGCGAGAAAAGCUGUGUGUAUUGAUUAGGCGCCCGUACCGCAAACCGACACAGGUAGAUGAGGAGAGAAUCCUAAGGCCAACGGGAGAAGGGUUGUUAAGGAACUCGGCAAAUUGACCCCGUAACUUCGGGAUAAGGGGAGCCUCCUACGGGAGGCCGCAGUGAAUAGGCCCAAGCAACUGUUUACCAAAAACACAGGUCUCUGCUAAAUCGAAAGAUGACGUAUAGGGGCUGACGCCUGCCCGGUGCCGGAAGGUUAAGAGGAGAGCUUAGCGCAAGCGAAGGUUCGAAUUGAAGCCCCGGUAAACGGCGGCCGUAACUAUAACGGUCCUAAGGUAGCGAAAUUCCUUGUCAGGUAAGUUCUGACCCGCACGAAUGGCGUAAUGAUUUGGGCACUGUCUCAACAGCCCGCCCGGCGAAAUUGU
rnacentral:rRNA from 1 species